rnacentral:rRNA from 1 species
AGCAGCAGCCGCGGUAAUACGGAGGGUGCAAGCGUUAAUCGGAAUUACUGGGCGUAAAGCGCACGCAGGCGGUCUGACAAGUCAGAUGUGAAAUCCCCGGGCUUAACCUGGGAACUGCAUUUGAAACUGUCAGGCUGGAGUCUUGUAGAGGGGGGUGGAAUUCCAGGUGUAGCGGUGAAAUGCGUAGAGAUCUGGAGGAAUACCGGUGGCGAAGGCGGCCCCCUGGACAAAGACUGACGCUCAGGUGCGAAAGCGUGGGGAGCAAACAGGAUUAGAUACCCGUGUAGUCCCUGUCUCUUAUAU